GGGAAUUGGUAGUGGGAUUGGCCAUUGUGGCAAUGGGGUUAACUCACAAAGUCACAACACAUGCGGAAUCAGAGCUGAUAACGAAGAAGCCUAUGCAGUGAAAAGAAAUAGAGAAUAAUUUCAAGUGUACUACGCCAUGGACAGUGAGUUGUCUUUACUCCACUUACUGGGGCCAGCAGGUUGGCUCUCGGCCAUCUGGCAGCGGUUCGCUUAUCAGAAGGCGCUCUUGGCUGUGGCUGUUGCCUUUGGAAUUGCGCGGGCGUAAUGCGUAUAGCUGAUAAGCCAGGUGAGCCAAGGUACCAAGGUGCCAGGGUAGUGAGGUGCCAAGGUGUUGCGAUGAGUACCGAGUGCUGAGAACCGAAUCGAGUGCGAGUACAAUGGAUACGAUAUACACGGUGCCCGAGCACCCAGGCUGCACCCGGAGAAUGAGUUGGCCUGGUCUAUUUUAAGUAGCUAAGGCGGCCGCGUGGAGCCCGAGUGCAAACUGAUAAAUAUUGUUUACACACACUCCAAAGCUACAAGAGCCGGGAAUUGGAAUUGAAAUUGGAAUUGCUUUGCACCCAGAAGAAGGUAAAAAAUACGAAGGCAGAUGGAGCUGGCGGGACGGCAGGAAGGUGAUUGCAGAUUGGCCUGGAUGUGGUCAUAAAAGGCCCCUAAGUGGCCACAGGUGUCUAACCGGCAAUCUCCGAUCCAUUCACAUUAUGGCCACGCAUUCGACGAGUGGCUUAAGGAGCUUGCGGCUGAAAAUGGUUCCACAAUCUUUGUGCGAAUCACAAUAUUUUCUCUGCGUGUGCUUGCUCCUCCUCUCUGUCCCAGAUGCGACCCUAUCUCUAUCUGGCAGUCGGACGGUCGAUAGCGCGCAAAUCAGGUGCAUAACACCUGAACAAAUUAAGCGCACCAACAAAAAGAAUGCCUAACGAUCGCUCGUCAUUGGCAAUACAACAAGUUGCGCACCACAUCGCGAAUCGCAUAUCGCACCACCGGGUUCGAACAGGUGGCUGGAUGGUGUGUGGCUAGCUCCCCCGGUGGCCACGCCCCGUUUUGUUUUCCACCGCCCACCUUGCACUCGGCAUUUGGUCCGGACUCCGGACGCUAUCAUCUAUCGGGCUAUCAGCGACGCUUCCGCUGUCGGCGUCACAGCUGCAGUCGCUGUCGUUGGCGCUGCCUUCGUCGACUGCGCAGCAGGACGGGUACACUAACCGUCACACCGAUAAAGACCCAACAAAGCCAACAACAACUCGAGUACGAGUGCGAGCCCCAUUUGCUUUGCACUUGAAUUUGCGGUAUUGUAUUUAUAGUAUUUGUAGUCAUGGCAAUGCCACCAUGCGCCCCUAUACUACUCCACCAUGAUCCGUUGUAUAUCCCCAACCACCAAAAAAAAUAAAAACCACACACAUACCUAUGAAUAAUUUAGGGGGAAAUGGAGCUUAUUAGGGAGAAUAUUAGUUAAAGACUAAAAUACACAUAUAAUAAUAAUUUUAUUAAAAAAGCAUUGUCGGAAUCAAUGCUGGCAGAAAGUGCUUUAGAGGUAGUAAAGAUCGUAUCUUUAAGACAGUACUUCUGAGAGCGAUACAAGAAACACAUUAUUUAAAUUAUGGUACCAGUAUAAAUAGUAUAAAUAAUAACUCAAAUCUAGAUCUAUUUAAUGUUUUAGUUUACUUUAAAUCUGGAAAAGUUUUUAGCCAUAAAUAUUAAACUAAAGUUGUUGAAGUUCAUGCUACAAUUCAAAUACAAUAAACUUUUGUAUAAUUUUCGAAUGUGAACUUAAAGGGCUUAUCAAUUUAAUUCGUACAUUAAAAUAUUAUAUAUUUAUGUUUGUAUAUAGGAGCACUAAUUUUACGAUUAUGAGUCUGGCUCUGUUAUCACCACAAGUUGUUGCGGGUGGGCAGCAAUGGUUGCUGCUGGCUUUUGUCACAGUUGAUGACGCAGCCAUAUACUACAUAUAAUUUCUGGGAUGUGAAGCCAAUCAUUGGGGCAAUGGCAGAAAAAUAAUAAACUAAAACAGCCCAACACCUUAAUGCAUUCCGGUGCAUUAGACUGGCAUCUUUUGUGCGAUUCGAUCGCUCAUUUAAUUGCCAAACAAUCUACGCACUCGCGAAAAACGCGCUGAGUGGUAUCUAAAUCAAACUGGCAGUGGGGGGACAGAGCGGACUGUCAAUAAAGUGCACAUAUUAUGCAGCUGCCGUCGAAACAUGAAAAACAAUUUAGAAACGCCACAAAUCAGCGGCUCAAUGACCGCAGCCAGCAGUUGCAGUUGUAGUGGCUGUUGCAGUUGCAAUUGCGAACCGCGAAUUCGGAUACGAAAGAGAAAAGAUACAA